rnacentral:lncRNA from 1 species
CUCUCUUUAAUCUGUGCAUUAUUUUAGCUUCCUUAUCAGCCAACAUAUUCUCAUAAAACCUUUGUCCUCAGGUGAUCUACAUUAGUCAAAUUGCUAGAUCAUAGUCUCAGAAAACAAACAAGAGGUAUGGUCACAUACACUUUUCCCUCUGUCUAUAUCACAUAAUCAUCAUUCAACCAUAAUUUUACAAGUCAGACAUUCAUAAAUGACCCAUGAUGCACUUUAUCAAAAGCUACUUUUUCAUGAUGUCGGGAAGAUCAAACACAAGAGACGGCCAACAAAUUGAAGGUAUGGCAACAACUCCAGCAACUUGCAUCCAAUAUACGCCGGCGACACCCAAACGAUCAAAGGCACAAAGAAACGUCCGACGAACUGAAGACACAAUAUCAGCACCAUCAGCCUCAGGUAAUAUCCCCAUGCAAUUCUUCAUGUGUGUGCCUGCAUUUUGAUCUCAGCUCAACAUUGCGUCAAAACUCUUCUCAUACUGAACUAUAAAAUUCUUUUUCUUCAUGCAUCCUAACACUACCAUGAUAAUAAUGUCAAAGCUACAAAAAGAGCAACACGGUUGAACAAUUAUUGAUUUAUAGUUCCCUACCAGAUAAACAACAUUGAUCUCCAGAUGUACUGUAUGUGACAACAUCCAUUAGUAGUCUCUUAUAUCACCAAAUGCACUUGCAUGCCUGUAAAGGAAAAACACUAUUAAGUACUCUCUCUGUAGAGAAAUAUAAGAGUGUUUAGAUCACUACUUUAGUAAUCUAAACGCUAUUAUAUUUCUUUAUGGAGGGAGUACAACAUAAAUCAUGUUACAUGAUACUAUGUUAAGAAAACUAUACGCACUGACGAAAUCACAUUUGCAGAUAUGAGAGUCCAACAUACGUUAGACCCAGCUCACCAGACAAAAAGAAAGAAAGAACAACCUCUAAACUCAAGGGGUAGAAAGCGGACAAGGACUGCAGAGGGAAGAAGAAAUGCGAACACAGAGGCUCCUAAACGAUUGAGAAAGGCUAAUGCUGAAGAAGAUAGGGAAUUGAAGCGCGCCAGAAGCGAAACCAACAAAAACAACACUAGAGUCAAUGUUGGAGACAACAACAGAACCAAAACCUCGACAAGUGCUAAUAGCAAGCCAUGGAACUUCGGAAGGCCAACAUACAAAUGCCAAUAUUGCAAAGCAUUGCUAUGGUGUGAAGAAAGAUUAAAUUCAAACAAAGGAACUACGACACCCUCUUUUGGAAUAUGCUGCAAACAAGGGAAAAUCGAUCUGCCGCCACUAAGAGAACCUCCACCAUACCUUAGAAACCUCUUAAGAAGUGAAGGGCAGGAUUCGGUAAACUUCAAAGAAAAUAUAAGGUCAUACAACUCAAUGUUUUCAUUCACAUCGAUGGGAGGAGCUGUGGACAAGGAAAUAAACACUCGCAAAGGACCUUAUGUUUUUCAUUUGCAUGGACAAAACUACCACCAUAUCGGAACUCUUUUGCCUCAAGGUACAGACAAACCUCAGUUCGCACAACUAUACAUCUAUAAUACCGAAAUUGAGGUGGAAAACAGGAUAAGUGCGUCAAGAUGCAAUGAUAAUAAAUCAACAGUGAACCCCAACAUCGUCAAAGAACUGAAGAUAAUGCUCGACGACAACAAUAUCCUCGCAAAAACAUUCAGAAUGGCAAGAGACAGAUUCCAAGAAGGAGACUACCAUGAUUACACACUUCGGAUACUAGGCAAAAGGAACGGAACACACAACCUUCCAUCCGCAUCUAAAGUUGCAGCAUUGGUAGUAAGAGAUCCAACCGGAGAGAGUAAAGGACGUGACAUUGUUGUUGAGUACAAAAAUAUGGAGCCGCAAAGGAUAUCAGAGAUCCACCCAAAAUUCAUGUCCAUGCAAUAUCCGUUGUUGUUCCCAUAUGGAGAAGAUGGUUUUAAACUUGAGAUACCCUACAAGAAAACAAAAGGAGGUACAAACAGCAGGAAAUACGUAACAUUGUUGGACUACUAUGCAUUCUACCUACAGCAACGUCCUGAUCAAGGAAUGUUACUACUCAAGUCCGGGCAUUUGUCACUGCAAUUUUGGGUGGAUGUAUACACAUGUAUCGAGCAAAAUAGACUAAACUGGAUCCGACACAAUCAAGGAAAGCUACGAACUGAACUUUACAGUGGAUUACGGGAUGCAAUUGAGCGAGGGGACACAAGAACAGAGCAAGUUGGAAAGAGGAUAAUUGUGCCUUCAUCUUUUACAGGUGGUAGAAGAAACAAGGCACACUAUUUGCAAGAUGCCUUUGCAAUAUGUCGUUGGGAUGGAUACCCAGACCUAUUUAUAACAUUCACAUGCAAUGCAAAGUGGCCUGAGAUCCAAUACAUGCUAGAUGAAGCGGGAGGUGGCCAAAAGCCAGC